UACGUAGGGGGCUAGCGUUGUCCGGAUUUAUUGGGCGUAAAGGGCUCGUAGGUGGCCAACUAAGUCAGACGUGAAAUCCCUCGGCUUAACCGGGGAACUGCGUCUGAUACUGGUUGGCUUGAGUUUGGGAGAGGGAUGCGGAAUUCCAGGUGUAGCGGUGAAAUGCGUAGAUAUCAGGAGGAAUACCGAUGGCGAAGGCAGGUCUCUGGGCUGACACUGACGCUCAUGCACGAAAGCGUGGGGAGCAAACAGG
rnacentral:rRNA from 1 species